GCGUUCUCUGAUUUACCGGCGGACGGGUGAGUAACACGUGGGCAACCUGCCCUGUAGACUGGGAUAACUUCGGGAAACCGGAGCUAAUACCGGAUAAUUCUUUUAGCCUCAUGGCUUUAAGCUAAAAGGCGCUUCGGCGUCACUACAGGAUGGGCCCGCGGUGCAUUAGCUAGUUGGUGGGGUAACGGCCUACCAAGGCAACGAUGCAUAGCCGACCUGAGAGGGUGAUCGGCCACAUUGGGACUGAGACACGGCCCAAACUCCUACGGGAGGCAGCAGUAGGGAAUCUUCCACAAUGGACGAAAGUCUGAUGGAGCAACGCCGCGUGAGUGAUGAAGGUUUUCGGAUCGUAAAACUCUGUUGUAAGGGAAGAACAAGUGCGUUAGGUAAUGAACGCACCUUGACGGUACCUUAUUAGAAAGCCACGGCUAACUACGUGCCAGCAGCCGCGGUAAUACGUAGGUGGCAAGCGUUGUCCGGAUUUAUUGGGCGUAAAGCGCGCGCAGGUGGUUUCUUAAGUCUGAUGUGAAAGCCCACGGCUCAACCGUGGAGGGUCAUUGGAAACUGGGAGACUUGAGUGCAGAAGAGGAUAGUGGAAUUCCAAGUGUAGCGGUGAAA
rnacentral:rRNA from 1 species